rnacentral:rRNA from 1 species
UUGAGUGGUUAAGGCUCCCAGUAGACGACUGGGUUGAUAGGCCAGAUGUGGAAGCCCGGUAACGGGUGGAGCUGACUGGUACUAAUAGGCCGAGGGCUUGUCCUCAGUUG